AACUGGAAAAACUGAAAAGAGGCGCAGACUUGAGAGAGAACACAGACGCUCAUACAUCUGAAACUGUCUCGAAAUAAGGUAACCACGAUCAAACUCUUUAUUCUUGUUCUACUCUUUCAUUAUGCUAGGAUUGAUAAUUAGAUGAUUUUGGAAUCGAUUACAGAUUUGUGAUCUUCGUACCCUGGCUUAUGAAAACUGAUUAUAUCAAUGUAACCAUUGUUUUGAAUUCUUAUGAUUUGUUUUUUUGAAUUUUCGAUAAGUCUACUAUGGAUAUAACCAUUUACACCAAAACUACAAAAUAAUCUUUUCCCAUGAUUAACACAUGAAAUCUCAUUAGCUUUUUAAAAGGAGAAGAUUACUCAAAUAACACUAAUCUAUGUUAUUGAUCAAAAGUAUGUCGUUGAAAACCUGCGAUACAUGAUGACAGAUUUAUUAAUUUCUGGAAAAUUUAUUUCUUCCAGCAGAUUUAUCACGACAGACUUAUUUUCGUUGUAGACUUUUUACAAUAUCAAUCAAGGUUCAGGAAUUGUUUUUGACAUUUUUGAUUGUCAAAGAUAAAUCAGGAUAAAGCUUUUUACUUCACUCCAAGAUGCACUGGUUGAGGUAGAGUUAUAUAUUUGUGAUGUAAGAGGACAAGGAUAUGACAAUUGAUCUAAUAUGAAAGGAAAGAACAAAGGAGUUCAAAAAAAAGUAGUUAGAAAUUAAUCCAAAGGCAUUCUUCACACCAUGUGGUUGUCUUAAUCUCAGUUUUGUGCUAUGUGAUGUAGAAACUUCUUUUUCAAAAUUUGUGUCUUUUUUUUUUGAAAUUGUUCAAAGAAUAUAUUGCUUAUUUGCUUCUUCAACAAAGUGACAGUACAUAUUUACAAUCAUGGUUAAGGGAUUAACCCUAAAUCUUUGUCCAGAUAAGUUGGAAAAUUCAUGUUAAAAGUGUCAAAGCAACACGAUUUCAAGCCUCAGAAAUCAGAGAAGCAUUAAGUACUGAUGACCUAGUAACACGAAGUAGUUCUGAAUCUCUUGCUUUAAGUGAAACACAUGGAAUUGUAGGUUUUGAGUUUUUAUUUGGCAUGGUUGUUUGGUAUGACAUUCUUUUUGUUGUCAACACUGUAAGCAAGAGCUUGCAAUUAGAACAUAUUGAGAUCGAUAAUGCAAUUCACCAACUGAAAGGUCUUGUGUUCGAAACCUUAUUGACGUGCUUGACUUUUGAAGAAAAUAGAGGAUUUCUGUAAAAACACAAAAGUUGCUUAUUUUAUGUUAACCAUUUCAGUAUAGGUUGCAACAAGUGAAAGACGUUUUUCGAAGUUGAAACUAAUAAAUAAUUAUUUGCGGUCUACCAUAUCACAAGAGAUUAAAUGGGUUGGCUCUAUUAUCAAUUGAGACAUCUAUGGUUGAAAGACUUGCCUAGAUGAGUUUGAUGAAUUAUUUUGUAGGAAAAAAAUGCAAGAAGGUCAAUAUUUCAUCAAUAAGCAUUUUUUAUUCUGUUUUUUUAUAAACAUUUUUUUUUUAAAUUUGAUUGUUUUAUGGAAGUUCAAUUUUUUUAUUACUCUUGUUAAAUGAUUUUGAAUUAUAUAUAUAAGAUGGUUAAUUUGCAGAAUAUGCAUAUUGAUCAAAGAAUGGUGAAAGUAACCAUUGUAUCACUUACACGGUAGGAUGUGACAUUUGACAAAAAAAUCAGACAUGUUUAACUUUUUUCAUCAAUGAUUAUGAUCUUCAUGCAUUAAAAUAAGAUGGCACAAGUUUCUGUCUUCUAAAUUUUAACAUAAACAUUCUAUUUAGAAAGGGUAAAAUAGAAUAGUAUAUUAAAUAAUAAUAAUAAAAUAAGUAUGUUACAGUUAUAGCAUAUGAAUAAAUAUGUGGAGGAAGGAAGAAAAAAAGAAGAGCCCGGAGGAGUAGGGAAAAAGAGAAGAAGAAAGAAGAGGGAGGAGGAGGGAGGAAUAAGAGGAGGCAAGAGGGUGGAGGAGGAGAGAGGCAAGCGUAUGAGAGAGAGAGAGGAGGAUGAGAAAGACGGACGAAAAAAGAGAGGGAGGAAGAUGAGUAGGGGAGGAGGAGGAUGAAGAGAGGGAAGAGGGAUGGGGAGGAAGAAGAGGAGGAGAAAAGAAACUAGAAAAGGAGGGAGGAAGAGAGAGAGGAUAAAGAGAUAAUGUACUAUACUGCUUCUAUAAAAUUGAAUAGUUAAUGCAUAAUACAUACAAUAUAUCCAAAAUAAAUGUGUAUUAGUUUUAGAGAAG
rnacentral:lncRNA from 1 species